GUGGUUUCAAAACGAACACUGCGACGUGAUCGGCGCACACGCAGUUAUUUUAAGGGUGUCUAGUGUUUUCGGUCUGGCGCCACUGCGGUUCAAAUCGAACGGAAACGGAUAUGUGGUUUCAUUAUCUAUUCCUAUGUGCAUAUACAGUUAUUUGCUGGUAACUAUUUUGGUCUCGAUGGCAUACUUCGGCAUAAUAUCCGAGAUACAGCUUGGCGUCAGUCCUUUCCUCCACAACUCCUCACGUCUGUCUCAGAUCAUGUCUUUUUGUGAUGUCUCCUUCCUUGCUAUCCUGGGCAGCGCGGGAGUGUACGGCGCCCCUGCUAGAAUGAGAAGCAUGAUCAAGUUUAUGGACACUA